CCUACGGGUGGCAGCAGUGAGGAAUAUUGGUCAAUGGCCGAGAGGCUGAACCAGCCAAGUCGCGUGAGGGAUGACGGCCCUACGGGUUGUAAACUUCUUUUGUCGGGGAGCAAAGAGAGUCACGUGUGGCUCAUUGAGAGUACCCGAUGAAAAAGCACCGGCUAAUUCCGUGCCAGCCGCCGCGGUACUACGGAGGAUGCGAGGGUUAUCCGGAUUUAUUGGGUUUAAAGGGUGCGGAGGCGGAGGUGUAAGUCAGUGGUAAAAUUGCGGGGCUCAACCCCGUACUGCCGUUGAAACUGGAUCCCUUGAGUGCGCGAGAAGUAUGCGGAAUGCGUGGUGUAGCGGUGAAAUGCAUAGAUAUCACGCAGAACUCCGAUUGCGAAGGCAGCAUACCGGCGCGCAACUGACGCUCAUGCACGAAAGCGUGGGUAUCGAACAGGAUUAGAUACCCCAGUAGUC
rnacentral:rRNA from 1 species